rnacentral:rRNA from 1 species
GACGAACGCUGGCGGCGUGCCUAAUACAUGCAAGUCGAACGAAGUGGGGACGGGUGAGUAACACGUGGGUAACCUCCAAUCAGAGGGGAUAACACUUGGAAACAGGUGCUAAACCGCUACUGAUGGAUGAACCCGCGGUGCAUUAGCUAGUUGGUGAGGUAACGGCUCACCAAGGCCACGAUGCAUAGACGACCUGAGAGGGUGAUCGGCCACACUGGGACUGAGACACGGCCCAGACUCCUACGGGAGGCAGCAGUAGGGAUUAUUCGGCAAUGGACGAAAGUCUGACCUAGCAACGCCGCGUGAGUGAAGAAGGUUUUCGGAGCGGAAAACUCUGUUGUUAGAGAAGCGGUAUCUAACCAGAAAGCCACGGCUAACUACGUGCCAGCCGCCGCGGUAAUUC